AUACGAAGGGUGCUAGCGUUGUUCGGAAUUACUGGGCGUAAAGCGUGCGUAGGCGGACUUUUAAGUCAGAUGUGAAAUCCCAGGGCUCAACCCUGGAACUGCAUUUGAAACUGGAGUCUAGAGACCAGCAGAGGUUAGCGGAAUACCGAGUGUAGAGGUGAAAUUCGUAGAUAUUCGGUGGAACACCAGUGGCGAAGGCGGCUAACUGGACUGGUACUGACGCUGAGGCACGAAAGUGUGGGGAGCAAACAGGAUUAGAAACCCUAGUAGUCC
rnacentral:rRNA from 1 species